rnacentral:lncRNA from 1 species
CCCCCUGGAGAAAAGAGCCGCCGCCGAGGGCGCGAAAAGGCGAGUCCGGAAGCCCGCCAGGGAGCCAGUGGCGCGUUUUCCAGAUCACCCUGUUGGAACUUAGCGUAGCAGAGGAAGAACACCAUGGAAUAAGGAGAAAGGAGAUACAAGUAGCCUCUCCAGGAAGAAUGUGACUGAAUACUUUUUAUACAAAACCACAAAAUUAGAUAAAUAUGUAUUUAAGUGUUAUUCCUGAAAGCUGGAGAAAGAAAUCUUACUUCUAAGAAUUGUUUAGCGAAGGAAUAAGAAAAUGUGAUGCUUGGAAGAAAAAACACACUGCCGAGAGGCCUUGCGCUGAGUGUGCUGAACAAUAGACAACCUCUAAGGAUGCUCGCCUGCAAUUCCGGCUCUGCCAUCAAUUCACUGUAUGCCUUUGGAUCAUCUACAAGACAUGAAUGAUGUUCAGAAUUACUUGUCAUGCCCUUUGCUUGGGGCUGAAAACAAGAUGCAGUCACACAGAUUUCAAUGGAGUGUGUACUCUAGAGGCAGACUGCCUGGGAUCAAAAUGCUUGCAGUAUAACCAUUGACAGCUUCCAUAACUUAUCUCUUCCCAGUAUGCAACUAAGACAUGCCUGAGUGAAGUUUCCUAGGAGCCAGAUAAUUAAUCCAACAUUUAUCUGAAAUGCUGAACUAACUUGCAUAAUUCUUCAAAUGAAUAUCACACCUUCGAUGGGGACAUACAAAUUGUUUCAACCUGAGGCUUGAAAAUAUGUGUCAUAAAGCAUUCUGAUUUAUCAAGAA